AUUGAACGCUGGCGGCAUGCUUUACACAUGCCAGUCGAACGGCAGCGCGGGCUUCGGCCUGGCGGCGAGUGGCGAACGGGUGAGUAAUACAUCGGAACGUGCCCAGUAGUGGGGGAUAGCUCGGCGAAAGCCGGAUUAAUACCGCAUACGACCUGAGGGUGAAAGCGGGGGAUCUUCGGACCUCGCGCUAUUGGAGCGGCCGAUGGCAGAUUAGCUAGUUGGUGGGGUAAAGGCCUACCAAGGCGACGAUCUGUAGCUGGUCUGAGAGGACGACCAGCCACACUGGGACUGAGACACGGCCCAGACUCCUACGGGAGGCAGCAGUGGGGAAUUUUGGACAAUGGGCGAAAGCCUGAUCCAGCAAUGCCGCGUGUGAGAUGAAGGCCUUCGGGUUGUAAAGCACUUUUGGCGGGAACGAAAAGGACUGUGCCAAUACCACGGUUCGAUGACGGUACCCGCAGAAUAAGCACCGGCUAACUACGUG
rnacentral:rRNA from 1 species